CUGUUUCUAAUUAAUAGGAAUAAUUUAACUUUUUAUUGAGAAGGAUAAAAUUUUAUUGAAAGACGAGAAGACCCUGUAGAUCUUUAUAGAUGUAUUAAUUUAAGUAUUAUUUAAUUUGAUAGUUUGAUUAUUUGGUUGGGGUAAUUUAAUUUAUAAAUAUUUUUUUGUUUUAACAUUUAAUUUUGAUUUUUUGACCUAUUUUAUAGUAGUUUGAUUAAGUUACCUCAGGGAUAACAGC
rnacentral:rRNA from 1 species